rnacentral:rRNA from 1 species
AGGUAGUUCCUGCCCUAUGAUUAUUUAAAUGGCUGCAGUAUAUUGACUGUGCAAAGGUAGCAUAAUAGAUAGUUCUUUAAUUGAGAGCUGGAAUGAAUGGAUUAAUGAGAGAAUUGUUUUAUUAAAUUAAUUUUCAUAAUUUACCUUUUUAGUAAAAAGUCUAAAUUGUUUUCUUGGGACGAGAAGACCCUAUAGAACUUUAAUUUUUAUAUAAUUAUUAAUUUUUAUACUUUUUUUUUUAAUUAUAUAAAUAUUUUAAUUGGGGUGAUUAAUAAAUUUAAACUUUAUUUUAUUGUUUCAUUUAUUUAUGAUUAUAAAGAUCUUUNGGAUUAAAAGAUAAAGUUACCUUAGGGAUACCACCGUAAUCUUAAUGGGGAGUUCAUUUCUAUUUUAAACNCUGCGACCCCCCUGUUGUAUUAAGUCAACCUUCGCAGCCGCNGCGCGNUCCNCCAGCCCCCCCCUCUUCUCUACCCUUCCCCCAUCCGAGCCCACACCCU